AUUGAACGCUGGCGGCAUGCUUUACACAUGCAAGUCGAACGGUAACAGGCCGCAAGGUGCUGACGAGUGGCGAACGGGUGAGUAAUGCAUCGGAACGUGCCCAGUCGUGGGGGAUAACGCAGCGAAAGCUGCGCUAAUACCGCAUACGAUCUAUGGAUGAAAGCGGGGGACCGUAAGGCCUCGCGCGAUUGGAGCGGCCGAUGUCAGCUUAGGUAGUUGGUGGGGUAAAGGCUCACCGAGCCAACGAUCUGUAGCUGGUCUGAGAGGGCGACCAGCCACACUGGGACUGAGACACGGCCCAGACUCCUACGGGAGGCAGCAGUGGGGAAUUUUGGACAAUGGGCGCAAGCCUGAUCCAGCAAUGCCGCGUGCAGGAAGAAGGCCUUCGGGUUGUAAACUGCCUUUGUACGGAACGAAACGGCUCUGGUUAAUACCUGGGGCUAAUGACGGUACCGUAAGAAUAAGCACCGGCUAACUACGUGCCAGCCGCCGCCGUAAGAC
rnacentral:rRNA from 1 species